UACGUAGGGUGCAAGCGUUAAUCGGAAUUACUGGGCGUAAAGCGUGCGCAGGCGGUUUUGUAAGUCUGUCGUGAAAUCCCCGGGCUCAACCUGGGAAUUGCGAUGGAGACUGCAAGGCUAGAAUCUGGCAGAGGGGGGUAGAAUUCCACGUGUGAGCAGUGAAAUGCGUAGAGAUGUGGAGGAACACCGAUGGCGAAGGCAGCCCCUGGGUCAAGAUUGACGCUCCAUGCACGAAAGCGUGGGGAGCGAACAGGAUAGAAACC
rnacentral:rRNA from 1 species